rnacentral:lncRNA from 1 species
CUCACGUCUACGUGUCUUCACAGGAGAUGAUUUUCCGAGGCACUGACACCGUUGCUCUCCUCACCGAGUGGAUUCUCGCGGAGCUCGUCCUCCAUCCUGAAAUCCAGAGCAAGUUGCGUGAGGAGAUCGCUAGCGUAGUUGGAGGAAAAUCCGAAGUUGCCGAGUCCGACCUCCACAAGAUGGUGUACCUCCAAGCCGUUGUAAAGGAGACUCUUCGGAUGCAUCCUCCGGGUCCCUUGCUCUCUUGGGCUCGGCUUGCGAUUCACGACGUAACCUUGGCCGGUCACCACGUCCCUGCAGGCACCACGGCCAUGGUAAACAUGUGGUCCAUCACUCACGAUCCAUCCAUCUGGUCCGAGCCUGAGAAAUUCAGCCCGGAGAGAUUUCUGGAGCAGGACGUCGACGUGAAAGGAACUGACUUACGUCUCGCUCCAUUCGGAGCUGGUCGCCGAGUGUGUCCCGGACGAGCUCUCGGCCUCGCUACUGUUCUUCUCUGGACGGCUCGGUUGGUUCACAAGUUUGAGUUCCAGGUCGACCCAGCCCAUCCCGUUGAUCUCACCGAAGUUCUCAAGCUGUCCAGCGAAAUGGCUGCACCACUGGUGGUAAAAGUGAGAUAGUUAGUCUCAAGCAAAAAAAUGUGGCAAAGAUCUUUCAUCAAUAAGAUAAUUCUAGAGAUUCUUUAUACCUCUCGAGAUAGCUCUAUAGAUCCUAGAGCGCAAAUCUGAAGCUAGGCGUGGUGAGUCUGAGAAGAUUAUGUGAAGAACGAAGAAAUUACCUCCAAAGGAAGAAUAGGGGAAACGAUGUCCUGGCAUUUCCCUACCUCGAUCUUUAUGCGCUGCGGCGAAUCAAUCAGGCGCGCUGGAGGAUAGAUUUCCCCCAAUCCAUCGCAAACCAUCGCAGGGCACCUGGGAGAUUGCAGAGUACCAAAGGAAUGGAGGACUGAUCUCUUUGCCGCGCAACAACCAAGCGAUCUGACACAAGAACCCUAAGUGACGCCACAAGGAUUCGAACAGCUGACGUGAUGGGCCAAAGCGUACGUUUGUCCCGUACGGAUAAACCCAAG